GCGAUUGCUUGAGAGGGGAAAAAACCCUCUGUAGCCACAGGCAGACAAGCUCAGUGCUCAGGAAUAUAAUGGCUGGAGCCUGCAGGCCCAUAUGCUCGCCAUCCUGCGAGGUGGAAGGCCAGCUCCGAUCAUCUCUAGCUGCUCAGGAUACAAUUGAUCAGGGUCUCCUAAACACUCCAACCUUUCCCAGUCCACUAUUACUUGGUGCAGAAGCACAUUCCGCUAAUAGCAUGAGAUGAGUAAGGAAAAGGAAGGCAUCUGUUCAAGAGACAAGCAACAAGAGAUACUUCAUGCCUCUUACACAAUGGUUGGCAACUCACAGAAUAUGGUUAAAAACUCUAAGCCUACCAGCAUGUAAAGCAAUUCUUAAAGAUGAAAGAUGCUCUGAACACUAGACUUUAAAUGGAUUGACUUUUAAAUAUGAUCAAAUCUUAGUUUAUACCUCAUCCAAGCAACAAAUCUGAGUCCGCAUUUUAAAACAAGUCUUAUGUUACCUGAACAUUCACAAUUAUUAAAAAGCCUCUUCAAACAACCCCUAUGGAGUGCUAUUGCUGGCCUCUUGACCUCUUUGCUUAUGUACAUCCAGAGACUGAAAAGGCUGUAUUUAUGAUAUUACCAAUUCCAGCACUGCCAGGCCAACCAACCUGAACUUAGCACGAUACUUUCCCUAGACUGUUCCUUUCCUGACAGAAAAGACAAGAGACUGACUUUGUGCAUGGUUUGGAAAGCUUCCAACUAGUUUAGCAGGGCUCUGCUAAAUAUAGAUAUAUAUUUGAUAUACAGAGACAUAAAUACAGAUAUAGAGUGUGCAAUUUUUGGCUUUACAUAAGAUAAUAGCCCAAUUUACUGACUGUAAAAUGAAACUGGGAAGGCUACUGUACUGGAGGAAGUGCUGGCCUAGGGUUUGAGAUCCUUGCAGCAGGAUUCAGAUCACCUGAUCAGGUACCUAAAGCAUGACUUUGUUCAAACACCCAGAAUAUCCACUCUCAAGUGUUUCCUAUUUCAGAAGGACCCAGAUCUCAUCAACACCUAUUUCAGCAUGAAAUACCCUCCCAUGCAGCUGUGUAGAAGCCCUUCUGGAUAUGCAAAUUACAGACAUAAUCCCUUUUUCUGCUGCAGUGCAGAUCCAGACAGCCAUCCACAGUUCCUGAGCAGCUAAAGUGCUCUUACAAGAUUCCCAGCUCAGCAGAGGACCACACCAUGAUGCUUAUGGAUGCAUCCAGCUCUCAGUUAAUUCUACAAACUGCCUAGGCACCUACAUGCCAUUUUCUUUGGACAAGCAUCUACAUCAGGUGCUGCAACCCCUUAGGCAGGCAUGUAAACUAGGUAUUACAGUAUGAGACUGGACUUCCAAUCCUGAAUUUGA